GUUUUCAACAAAGAUGGCGGCGGCUCCGGAAGUGGAGCGAAGAAAAAGAGAGUUAGCGUAUAUGUUUUUAUGCCGAGCAUGACUACUUGUGGAACCCGAGGGUAAAACAGUACAAACUUCGGGAUGUAAAAAGAAAGAAAGCCUUUCAGGAGCUCUGUCAGCUCCUUUUCCUCCUCAGCAGCCAUCCCCUGGUCCAUGUCCUUUUUCUUUUUUGCUGAGAUGAGAAUUAAACGAUGAUGUUUUUUUGUGAUGUAUGUGUCAGUUAUUAGUUAUAGCAUGUGUAAUUGAGGUUAGUAGCAUUUCAAGAAUGAUUUAAAGUGUUUUAUUAACAGAAUGUGGUUAUUUUGACUUCUAAAUGUUAAAAUAAUGGCAAUUUUUUUUUUUUGACCACACUAUCUAUUCAGUUUUGUUCAGGAAGUGAUACAUACUUGAGCAAAAUAAAGGCUGAAGCCAAAACAAAAAUGACAA